rnacentral:lncRNA from 1 species
AGUGGAAAUACAUGUUUUUUAGGGUAUUACUAGAAAAGAAAGUAUGAUAAAGCGUGUCUGUAAUACUUUUAUUUUUACUCUGGUGGUAGUGGCGAGCUGAGAAGUUUCUACAUACAUGGAGUCCAGUAAACAUCUAUUGAACAAACACCAUCAAUAUGUACAAUUUUGGGCUAUAUAAUUUUAAAAUUGAUGGUGCCACCUAUUGGUGAUGACAUAAAGUGUAAAAUGAUCACUUACAUAGUAAGUUAUUUCAUGUUUUCCAAUCAUGUUACUUAUUCCCACAGAGAUUCUGUGAGGAGCUGGAAGGCAAGCUUGGUUCAUGCAGACAUGAGGCACUAAUGUUUUCAACUGGGUUGCUCUCCACUGGAUGCCUAUUAAAUGCUCAGCACUUUGGAGUAUACCAGAGAAGUAAAGACAUGGCCCCUGCCUUCAAGGAGCAUUUUAUCCAGUUGGAUUUCAAACCUGUUCUUUGGGGAUGGCCCAACCCCACUUGUUCAGUUUUGCAGCCAGAAGCAUGGAUUCAUCAUCAGUAUGGUGGGACGCUACUUCAGACUGCUUUCAUGUCAAGAUCUGCCUCAUCUUCCAAAGUGGGAGUUCCCAGCAUUAGGCUUGUGGGGGUGGAAGCUUAAUCCGCCUCCUUCCAAAAACUGAAGUGAGUCACUACCAACCUUGUCUCUCCACCCUUUACUGGGUCCAUACACAGCCCUGCCUUUUUUUAAGGAGGUGGAACCCAGCCUAAGGUCUCCAUUAAUGUGGAAUUGAGAAAGGGCAUCUGUUCUGGGUCAUUCUGACUUCCAGACUAGAAUUUAUCUCAGCUCUUAAGACAGAGCUAUCUUAAGAUAAGUUCUUAAGAGCUAACUUAAGAAAUCUUAAACAGUUUUACAGAAGUGGGUAAAAUCUCUGCAAGUCUUUGAAGAAUAUUAGCAAUGAAAAUGGUUGUUAUUUUUUCAAAAAAUAAUAACAUGAACUUGGAAUGGAUAGUUAUUUUGGCCAGAAGAUUAACAUGAAUUCUCUGACACCUGGGCAGAUUCCCCAUCUGAUCUGUGCUCCUUCCCAUUUGAACAUUGGAUACCUUUGAGAAACCUUCUUGGAGCAUGUAGAAAAGCCAGUACAUGGGCAUGGACAUACACAUACCCCACCCUUACAUUCUUCUUUUUGUUUC